rnacentral:lncRNA from 1 species
UAAUGAUUUUUAUUUUUUCCAUUAUAGCUGCUUUACAGUAUUCUGUCAGUUUUCUACUGUACAGCAAGGUGACCCAGUUACACAUACAUGUAUACAUUCUUUUUUCCUGCAUUAUCAUGCUCCAUCGUAAAUUACUAGAUAUAGUUCCCAGUGCUAUACAGCAGGAUCUCAUUGCUUAUCCAUUCCAAAGGCAAUAGUUUGCAUCUAUUAACCCCAGACUCCCAGUCCAUCCCACUCCCUCCCCUCCCCUUUUGCAAGCACAAGUCUAUUCUCCAUGUCCAUGAUUUUCUUUUUUGUGGAAAGGUUCAUUUGUGCCAUAUAUUAGAUUCCAGAUAUAAGUGAUAUCAUAUGGUAUUUGUCUUUUUCUUUCUGACUUACUUCACUUAGUAUGAGAGUCUCUAGUUCUAUCCAUGUUGUUGCAAAUGGCAUUAGUUUCUUUUUUAUUGCUGCAUAGUAUUCCAUUGUGUAUAAGUACCAUAUCUUCUUAAUCCAAUCAUAUGUUGAUGGACAUUUAUGUUGUUUCCAUGUCUCGGCUAUUGUGAAUAGUGCUGCAAUGAACAUACGGGUACAUGUGUCUUUUUCCAGGAAAGUUUUGUCUGGCUAUAUGCCCAAGAGUAGGAUUGCUGUGUAUAGUUUUCUAAAGUACCUCCAUACUGUUUUCCAUAGUGGUUGUACCAAUUUACAUUCCCACCAACAGUGUAGGAGGGUUCCCUUUUCUCCAUGCCCUCUCCAGGAAUUGUUUUGUGGACUUAUUAAUGAUGGCCAUUCUGACAGGUAUGAGGUGGUACCUCAUAGGUUUUUUUGAUUUACAUGUCUCUAAUAAUCAGUGAUGUUGAGCAUUUUUUCAUGUGCCUGUUGGCCAUCUGUAUAUCUUUUUUGGAUAAAUGUCUAUUCAGGUCUUUUGCCCAUUUUUCCAUUGGGUUGUUGGCUUUUUUGCUGUUGAGUUGUAUAAGUUGUGUGUAUAUUUUUGUCAGUUGCAUUAUUUGAAACUAUUUUCUCACAUUCUAUAAAUUGUCUUUUUUUUUUAUGGUUUCCUUUGCUGUGCAAAAGUUUGUCAGUUUGAUUAGGUCCCAUUGGUUAUUUUUACUUUAUUUCUGUUGCUUUGGGAGACUGACCUGAGAACACACUUGUAAGGUUGAUAUCAGAGAAUGUUUUGCUUAUGUUCUCUUCUAGUUUGAUGGUGUCUUGUCUUACAUUUAAGUCUUUAAGCAAUUUUGAGUUUAUUCUUGUGGAUGGUGUGAGGGUGCACAUUAUCCAAUAUUUUAAUCUUUUAUCUAGCAUUAUUUUGUGUUACAAAUUCAUUCUCAAGGAGUUCUUUUAGUGAGAGUCAGGUGGAGAUAAUUCUCUCAGGUUUUUUUUUUGGCAUAGUCUAACUGGGACCACUUCCAUAUAAAUUUUUAACUUGGAAAUUUUCAGGCCACACAAUUAAUAUAAAUCUCAAUCCUAUAUCCAUCUGAAGUCUGGCCUGAAGAUAAAUUUUCGCUGGAAGCUUUGUGGUAUGUAUUUACCUGCCUGAGUAGAAGCUGAAAAAAGCAAAUAUACUUAUGAUUGGGGAUUGGGGAAGACUAGAAAUGGGAUUUUUUUCUUUUUUCUGGUUCACCUGUUCACGGAAGAUGUUUCUUUUCAGUACUCUCCACUUUAUGUAGGAAUCUCUGACCUUUCACCUUGUUCUGUUUUGUAAGAAGUCACAAGUUUUGUUAAAAUUGAAGCUCUGAGGUACCUGGGUUUGAUGAAGCCUCCAGAAAUAGGUAAAUGCCCCCAGAGCAGCACCAUCUUCACUCAAAUGCCUUUCUGGAUUUCUAGCUCUCCAUUUUUUUGGCUUAGCUUUUCCUUCAUUUUCUUGCUGGCUCAAUGGUGCAUUUAAAGAGCCUUUAAAAAAUACUUUUUCAAGCAUUUGUAAGUGUUGCAUGCAGGGACAGCUUUUAAGGAUCUACUCUGCAUCUUUCUAGAACCAAUGCAUUCCACUCUUAAUAACUUGCACAUGGCAGCCAGAAGGACUACUUGUCUUCUAUCCCUAUAACUCACCAAGCUGAAUGACUUUGAAUACCUCUGUAAACCUCAGUUUUCUGCUUCCUUAUCUGCUGACUCUUUAUUAGAUCCCUUAAAAGAGAAAUCUUUUCAAUUUAUAUAACCUCCUUCCCGGAAGAGAUUUAGCAUUUUUGAUAAACCCCUUAAAUUUCUGGGGAAUUUUAAUGAGAUUAAGACUUGUAGGAAACAAAUUUGACUAACAGCUAAAAGUCUCAGUCUAAAAAUAACUAUGCAUUUUUUUAUCUGUAUACUGUAUAUCUUUUCUUUUUCUCUGUAAAUACCCUUAUCAAGAGCGAAUCUUUGAAUUGGAUUUCCACAGGGUUUUUUCUUUUGCAAUAAGAGAUCUAAAUCUAUGAUAUGCUCAUAACUUAAUAGUUUGAAAAGUUUUCAUUAACAAAUCUUUAACUUAAAAAAAAUAAAUAAAUGAAUUACUUGGGAGUUCUCUUGGCACAGCCAGUUAAGGAUGUGACAUUGUUACUGCAGUGGCUCAGGUCACUACUGUGGCUCAGUUAGAUCCUUGGCCUGGGAACUUCCACAUGCCACAGGCAUGGGCAAAAAGCAAAAAUAAAAACAAACAAAAAAGAAUUACCUUUGUUUUCAACUUUCAGCUCUAAGUUUAGGGGCACUAUAAACAAAUCAGACCAUCUUAGUUUCUACUGGAAAAAGUAAGAUAUUCUUGAACUGCAAGGAUAAAUAUUACCUUCAGAAAGAACUUUGUUUAAAAAAAGCGCAAAAUUGAAAACAACAAUGCAUGAAAAAUUUAAAUAGAAAUGUUAAUAACAGACUUAUGAGUUUUACUUGCAUUUCCUGUUGAUAUACAAAUUUGGAAAUUGUUCUGGCCAAGGCAUUCCCCCUCCAACUUUCAUCCUUAUGUUAUAGGAGAAAUGUAUUGAAUUUUUAAUGCACAUGGCUCCAUCUGAAGAAACAGGACUGGCUACAUGAAAAAAAGAAAAGACUUUUCUAACUCAUUUUAAUUCAGUUUUAAUUAUGUAAGGUUGAAAUAACAUUUUGGUGAUUUAGCUGAAAAGUAAUAAAAAUUAAGCCCUGGAGUAUUAGAAAAUCUAGAUUUCUCACUGACUGAAUUUUAUAAGUCACCUUUGUAUACUUCAAUGUUUUCUGUGCAGUGAGAAUAACGGUAACUCAACAUUUGAGUCAAAAUGAACUGGGUUGAAAUUUCUAGCAGUUGAAUCUGAGCUCCUUAUGCUUAUUUGUGGGGUAAUUAUAUCCAUAUUGUAAUAUUGUUGUGAGGAUUAAGUAGUGUCUAAAACAAGCACCAAGAGAGAGUAAAUAAUAGAGAUAGGAAGCAAGUACUUUUAAAGUCUAUACAUCAGAUUUCUUUAUAUUAAUGUAAUUAUUUAAUGAUUAACUUUUUAAAAUGUCUCCGUUGUAUUCCAAUUACUAUUUCAUUAGCAAGAAUCACUUUUUCUCCUUGCUUUUCAGCUUUAUCUACUGUGAAAAGGAUGCAACAUUUGUCAGUGCAAGGGGACUUCUCUCAAGCAGUGAGUUAUUCUGAUGUUAAGUUCAGGAAAACCCACCUGUAUUUCAGUAUGAAUUCCCCAGGAUGUGUGUGUGUGUGUAUAUGUGUGUGUGUGUGUGUGUGUGCGCACGCGCGCGCUCCUGCGUUUGCAAAUAUACAAGGAGAAAAGGGAACAAUGUUAAAUCUACUUAUACACUUGGCAUUGAUUAAUUGAACCAAAAAUCAUGGAAGCAAAAAAAUUAGGAGAGGAUUAGUUCUUCAGAGUUUAUAGCUGCUAAAGGGAGUUUUUAUAAAGGAUUCGACUUUGAGCAAAAAAUAUUUUGUUUUUUAUGCCCUUGAGAAGGAAUUGCAUGUGUUACAUGAAAAUGGUAUGCUGCUUGGCUGCAUUAAAAUGACAAGGGUCCAGCAGACACAUCAUAGCUAAUUUUAGUAGGCAGAGCAGACACACUUGAGCUUAUUUUUCUCUGACUCUCACUCCCCAUCCCAACCCCUCAGGUACACACAUUACAAGAUUCCCUAGAGUGAGAAGGUGGGAGUGGAGAGUUUCAGUACUGAAGGUGGUAGCUCUGGAUAUCAUACUGAUCUCAUUAAG